rnacentral:rRNA from 1 species
GAUGAACGCUGGCGGCGUGCCUAAUACAUGCCAGUCGAGCGAACAGACGAGGAGCUUGCUCCUAUGACGUUAGCGGCGGACGGGUGAUUAACACGUGGAUAACCUACCUAUAAGACUGGGAUAACUUCGGGAAACCGGAGCUAAUACCCGAUAAUAUAUUGAACUGGAUGGUUCAAUAGUGGAAGACGGUUUUGCUGACACUUAUAGCUUGAUCCGCGCCGCAUUAGCUAGUUGGUAAGGUAACGGCUUACCAAGGCGACGAUGCGUAGCCGACCUGAGAGGGUGAUCGGCCACCCUGGAACUGAGACACGGUCCAGACUCCUACGCGAGGCAGCAGUCGGGAAUCUUCCGCAAUGGGCGAAAGCCGGACGUAGCAACGCCGCGUGAGUGAUGAAGGUCUUCGGAUCGUAAAACUCUGUUAUUAGGGAAGAACAAAUGUGUAAGUAACUAUGCACGUCUUGACGGUACCUAAUGAGAAAGCCACGGCUAACUACGUG